rnacentral:rRNA from 1 species
GAUGAACGCUGGCGGCGUGCUUAACACAUGCAAGUCGAACGGAACUGUUUGAAUGAAGUUUUCGGAUGGAUUUUAAACAGUUUAGUGGCGGACGGGUGAGUAACGCGUGGGUAACCUGCCUCACACUGGGGGAUAACAGUUAGAAAUAGCUGCUAAUACCGCAUAAGCGCACAGCUCCGCAUGGAGCAGUGUGAAAAACUCCGGUAGGUGUGAGAUGGACCCGCGUCUGAUUAGGUAGUUGGUGAGGUAACGGCCCACCAAGCCAACGAUCAGUAGCCGACCUGAGAGGGUGACCGGCCACAUUGGGACUGAGACACGGCCCAG